GACGAACCGUGCGAACGUUGUUCGGAAUUACUGGGCGUAAAGCGCACGUAGGCGGCUUUCUAAGUCGGGGGUGAAAUCCUGGAGCUCAACUCCAGAACUGCCUUCGAUACUGGAAGCUCGAGUCCGGGAGAGGUGAGUGGAACUGCGAGUGUAGAGGUGAAAUUCGUAGAUAUUCGCAAGAACACCAGUGGCGAAGGCGGCUCACUGGCCCGGUACUGACGCUGAGGUGCGAAAGCGUGGGGAGCA
rnacentral:rRNA from 1 species